AUAUUUUUGUUGUUGGUAAAAUACUUAAAUUUCUCCACACCUUUGUUGAUUUGUGGCGAAAAAACUGUACCUUUAUCUCAAAUUUUAGGAAAAGCAGAAGCGGGAUUCCCUUUUUGCUGAAUUUUCCCUCUUUACUUUGAGUUAUUUUAGUUUUUUCUCUCUUCGUCAAUUGGAGCUUUGAACGAGUUGGCCUUCCCUCAUGCGAUUAGGGCUCCAAUUUGUAAGUUACGUUUGUUCGUCAAGACUAGACUUUCUGCCGCCAUUUCAACAUUGUUGUUACUUCAAGUAAUUCAGAUGAUGCAAGUCCUGCAAGUGUUAUGGAUAAUAUUGUGGAUGAAAAUGUGUAACCAAGGCAAUAUGGUUGGUAAAGCACAGGCUAUUGGAAGAAACUUCAUAUUUUAGAUUAAAAGUUAGUGAUCCUAGGUAUAAUGUUUUAAGUUACUUUCUAUUAUGAGUAAACAUAUAUUUUUUUUAGGAGUAUUUAUCUUUUUGAGAUGAUUUAUUUAAUUUAUUUAUUUUAUUUAUUGUCCUUGGUACAAUAUAUAUAAAUUUAUUAUUUAUAUAUACAUUUCAAAAAUUCUAGAAGAAGUGUGACAUAUAUAUAUGGCAACUAAUCUUAAGUAGUUGCUAAAAUUGUACUGCACAAAGUAUUAAUUGGCAAGAGUAAUUUAUAGUCACAAUUGUUCUCAACAAAUUUUCGUUCACGAAAAAUAAAUUUUAACCACAAACAAAAAUAUGAAGAAACAAGAAUUUUUUAUUGAUUGUGGUUACAAAUUUGUUCCUCCCUUGAUUCUUCUCUCUUGAUUUUUUCGGUAAUUCGAGGGCCGUUAGUGGCUUAUUCUCGAACAUAGAAUUUGAUAUGAAUUUCUCAGUAA